CCUACGGGUUGCAGCAGUGGGGAAUAUUGCACAAUGGAGGAAACUCUGAUGCAGCAACGCCGCGUGGAGGAUGACGCAUUUCGGUGUGUAAACUCCUUUUAUAUAGGAAGAUAAUGACGGUACUAUAUGAAUAAGCACCGGCUAACUCCGUGCCAGCAGCCGCGGUAACACGGGGGGUGCAAGCGUUACUCGGAAUCACUGGGCGUAAAGCGCGCGCAGGCGGCCUUUUAAGUUGGAUGUGAAAGCCUACGGCUCAACCGUAGAACUGCAUCCAAAACUACUAGGCUAGAGUGUGGAGAGGAAGAUGGAAUUAGUUGUGUAGGGGUAAAAUCCGUAGAGAUAACUAGGAAUACCAAAAGCGAAGGCAAUCUUCUGGAACAUUACUGACGCUGAGGCGCGAAAGCGUGGGGAGCAAACAGGAUUAGAUACCCUUGUAGUC
rnacentral:rRNA from 1 species